rnacentral:lncRNA from 1 species
GUUGGAGAUAUUUAUUUUAAUGAGGCAGUAAUAAACACAGAGGUGAUCCUGCUUAAGUAGUGGAACUUGCUGCGUUGUAAAUGUAAAAAGUAAAUCUGAUAAGACAAAGAAUAUCAUGACCUAAAUAUUUUCUUUAGGUUAAUACAUCAAGUUUUCAAUAGAAAAAAAUGUAACAAACCUAAUUUAUGCAUAUAGAGUUAAAUUUAA